rnacentral:rRNA from 1 species
AGAGUUUGAUUAUGGCUCAGGAUGAACGCUGGCGGCGUGCUUAACACAUGCAAGUCGAACGCUGAAGCCCCAGCUUGCUGGGGUGGAUGAGUGGCGAACGGGUGAGUAACACGUGAGUAACCUUCCCUUGACUCUGGGAUAAGCCCGGGAAACUGGGUCUAAUACCGGAUACGACCUCCUGCCGCAUGGUGUGGGGGUGGAAAGAUUUAUCGGUUUUGGAUGGACUCGCGGCCUAUCAGCUUGUUGGUGAGGUAAUGGCUCACCAAGGCGACGACGGGUAGCCGGCCUGAGAGGGUGACCGGCCACACUGGGACUGAGACACGGCCCAGACUCCUACGGGAGGCAGCAGUGGGGAAUAUUGCACAAUGGGCGCAAGCCUGAUGCAGCGACGCCGCGUGAGGGAUGACGGCCUUCGGGUUGUAAACCUCUUUCAGUAGGGAAGAAGCGAAAGUGACGGUACCUGCAGAAGAAGCGCCGGCUAACUACGUGCCAGCAGCCGCGGUAAUACGUAGGGCGCGAGCGUUAUCCGGAAUUAUUGGGCGUAAAGAGCUCGUAGGCGGUUUGUCGCGUCUGCCGUGAAAGUCCGGGGCUUAACCCCGGAUCUGCGGUGGGUACGGGCAGACUAGAGUGCAGUAGGGGAGACUGGAAUUCCUGGUGUAGCGGUGAAAUGCGCAGAUAUCAGGAGGAACACCGAUGGCGAAGGCAGGUCUCUGGGCUGUUACUGACGCUGAGGAGCGAAAGCAUGGGGAGCGAACAGGAUUAGAUACCCUGGUAGUCCAUGCCGUAAACGUUGGGCACUAGGUGUGGGGGACAUUCCACGUUCUCCGCGCCGCAGCUAACGCAUUAAGUGCCCCGCCUGGGGAGU